rnacentral:rRNA from 1 species
AUUGAACGCUGGCGGCAGGCCUAACACAUGCAAGUCGAGCGGAUGAAGGGAGCUUGCUCCUGGAUUCAGCUGCGGACGGGUGAGUAAUGCCUAGGAAUCUGCCUGGUAGUUGGGGAUAACGUCCGGAAACGGGCGCUAAUACCGCAUACGUCCUGAGGGAGAAAGGGGGGGAUCUUCGGACCUCACGCUAUCAGAUGAGCCUAGGUCGGAUUAGCUAGUUGGUGGGGUAAAGGCCUACCAAGGCGACGAUCCGUAACUGGUCUGAGAGGAUGAUCAGUCACACUGGAACUGAGACACGGUCCAGACUCCUACGGGAGGCAGCAGUGGGGAAUAUUGGACAAUGGGCGAAAGCCUGAUCCAGCAAUGCCGCGUGUGUGAAGAAGGUCUUCGGAUUGUAAAGCACUUUAAGUUGGGAGGAAGGGCAGUAAGUUAAUACCUUGCUGUUUUGACGUUACCAACAGAAUAAGCACCGGCUAACUUCGUG